rnacentral:rRNA from 1 species
CCUACGGGAGGCAGCAGUGAGGAAUAUUGGACAAUGGGCGCAAGCCUGAUCCAGCCAUGCCGCGUGCAGGAUGAAGCAUCUAUGGUGUGUAAACUGCUUUUAUACAGGAAGAAACCUCCCGACGUGUCGGGAAGUUGACGGUACUGUAAGAAUAAGGAUCGGCUAACUCCGUGCCAGCAGCCGCGGUAAUACGGAGGAUCCAAGCGUUAUCCGGAAUCAUUGGGUUUAAAGGGUCCGUAGGCGGGCCGAGUAAGUCAGUGGUGAAAUCUCUCCGCUCAACGGGGAAAUGGCCAUUGAUACUGCUGGUCUUGAAUUAUUAGGAAGUAACUAGAAUAUGUAGUGUAGCGGUGAAAUGCUUAGAGAUUACAUGGAAUACCAAUUGCGAAGGCAGGUUACUACUAAUGGAUUGACGCUGAUGGACGAAAGCGUGGGUAGCGAACAGGAUUAGAUACCCUGGUAGUCCACGCCGUAAACGAUGGAUACUAGCUGUUGGGGGCAACUUCAGUGGCUAAGCGAAAGUGAUAAGUAUCCCACCUGGGGAGUACGUUCGCAAGAAUGAAACUCAAAGGAAUUGACGGCUGAGACAGCGACGACGACGACGAGGGAGGAGG